rnacentral:rRNA from 1 species
GAUGCCUAGGGGUUCUGAGAGGAUAAUCCCCCACACUGGUACUGAGACACGGACCAGACUCCUACGGGAGGCAGCAGUGAGGAAUAUUGGGCAAUGGACGCAAGUCUGACCCAGCCAUGCCGCGUGCAGGAUGACGGCCCUACGGGUUGUAAACUGCUUUUGUAUGGGAAGAAACUUUCGCACGUGUGCGGAAUUGACGGUACCAUGCGAAUAAGCAUCGGCUAACUCCGUGCCAGCAGCCGCGGUAAUACGGAGGAUGCAAGCGUUAUCCGGAUUUAUUGGGUUUAAAGGGUGCGCAGGCGGAUUGGUAAGUCAGUGGUGAAAGCCCCCGGCUCAACUGGGGAACUGCCAUUGAUACCGUUAAUCUAGAGUAUAGUUGAAGUGGGCGGAAUGUAGCAUGUAGCGGUGAAAUGCUUAGAUAUGCUACAGAACACCGAUUGCGAAGGCAGUUCACUAAGCUAAAACUGACGCUCAGGCACGAAAGCGUGGGGAGCAAACAGGAUUAGAUACCCUGGUAGUCCACGCUGUAAACUAUGAUCACUCGUUGAUGGCGAUAUACUGUCAGCGACUGAGCGAAAGUAUUAAGUGAUCCACCUGGGAAGUACGAUCGCAAGGUUGAAACUCAAAGGAAUUGACGGGGGCCCGCACAAGCGGUGGAGCAUGUGGUUUAAUUCGAUGAUACGCGAGGAACCUUACCUGGGCUUAAAUGUUAGACGACAGUCCCUGAAAGGGGAUUUUCCUUCGGGACGUCUUACAAGGUGCUGCAUGGUUGUCGUCAGCUCGUGCCGUGAGGUGUCGGGUUAAGUCCCAUAACGAGCGCAACCCCUAUUCUUAGUUGCCAUCAGGUGAUGCUGGGAACUCUAAGAAAACUGCCUACGCAAGUAGUGAGGAAGGU